rnacentral:tRNA from 1 species
ACUCCCGUAGCUCAGCCGGUUAGUAGCGAUGUUCUUAUACUAGGCAUAGGUCGUGGGUUCGAAUCCCACCGGGAGUA